rnacentral:rRNA from 1 species
AGUGUAGGCGGGAUCGUAAGUUAGGAGUUUAAUGCAUGGGCUUAACCCAUGACCUGCUUUUAAUACUGCGGUUCUUGAGUAUGGGAGAGGGCGAUGGAAUUCCAGGUGUAGCGGUGGAAUGCGUAGAUAUCUGGAAGAACACCAGUAGCGAAGGCGGUCGCCUGGCCCAAUACUGACGCUGAUGCUCGAAAGCUAGGGGAGCAAACAGGAUUAGAUACCCUGGUAGUCCUAGCCGUAAACGAUGGACACUAGUUGCUGGAGGAGUCAAUCCUUUCAGUGACGAAGCUAACGCAUUAAGUGUCCCGCCUGGGGAUACGCUCGCAAGGGUGAA